AGGUUGGGAAACAUGGGCUUCCCGGAGCUGGAUGACGCCGUCAGCCGCUUCAGGUUUGCUCAGUCCUGUCUGGGGCUGCUGGGAUGCCUGUGCGUGUGCUACGCCGUGUGGACGCCGCACUGGCUCAACGGGAGAGGACUCUGGUCCGAGUGGAACAACACUAUCAGCGAGGAGUCGCAUCGCGAGGCUGCCGCCGUCAACGCGGUCGAAGCGGAGCGAGUGUUCGGCCUGGUGUCCUUCCUCAUCGCUCUGAGCACCGGCGUGCUGUGCCUGGUGUUCGCCCUCUGGUGGACGUCUCGGACGGUGCGCUCCUACUCCAACACUCGCUCUCUCCUCCUGGCAGGGCAGGCCCUCUACCCGUCCACGCUGCUGCUGCUCACCAUGGCCUCCACAGGUUUCUUCUUCCUCUUCAGCUGGUCCCUCUUCACGUAUCAGCACCGCGAGGAGAUCGGCGGGGACCCCUCCGGCCUCGGCGCCUCCUACUGGCUGGGGGCCGUGGGCUGGGUCCUGCUGCUGGUUGUGGAGACGGCGGUGUUCGUCGCCGAGCGCUCCGUGGUGCCAGACAUCCUGCCGGACCUGGAGGAGGCCGUGGAGGCCUGGAGGAUUUCCUCUCAACUCAAAGCCGCCAAACGCGCCGCCGACUGGAGCGGGGAGAUGAAAAGGUGACGGGAACAUUAAAAAAACGAACGGAUCCACGCAACCGGACUGAAUAUUAAUGACACGAACGAAUUGAAAGCCAGGGAAACCGGUGACCAUACUUUACUUUGACACACUACAGACCGAUAAUAGUGGCUGAAGAACUAACCAUCAAAUGUGAGCACUGUCUCCUGAGGAGCCGCUCGUUAAAGGUCAACGCUCAUGAACAUCUGUCCAGGUGCUUUUUGAGUAGCUGCUGCCAAUGUGAUGACACUGUCAGUAUUUUUCUACCAGAGAUGAUAUUUAUUUAUGAAAAUGUUAUUUUACCUAACUCUGCGCGUAAACAGACAUGUCGGCUUGCUUUCUCUUGAUCAUGCAUCCAAAUGUAUGAUGGGUAAUAAAUAACAUGUGGUUUACA
rnacentral:lncRNA from 1 species